AGCAGUGUGGCCUAGGGGAAAGGGCACCGGCCUGUAAGUCAGAGGGCCUGGGUUCUAAUUCCGGCUCUGCCA
rnacentral:tRNA from 1 species